CUGUUUGGGGAUCUUACGUCAC
rnacentral:piRNA from 1 species